rnacentral:rRNA from 1 species
GGGCCCGCACAAGCAGCGGAGCAUGUGGUUUAAUUCGAAGCAACGCGAAGAACCUUACCAGGGCUUGACAUCCCACUGACAGGUAUAGAGAUAUACCCUUUCUUCGGGACAGUGGAGACAGGUGGUGCAUGGUUGUCGUCAGCUCGUGUCGUGAGAUGUUGGGUUAAGUCCCGCAACGAGCGCAACCCUUAUCUUCAGUUGCCAGCAGGUUAGGCUGGGCACUCUGGAGAGACUGCCGGGGACAACUCGGAGGAAGGUGGGGAUGACGUCAAAUCAUCAUGCCCCUUAUGUCCUGGGCUACACACGUGCUACAAUGGCCUGAAACAAAGGGAAGCGAAGGCGCAAGCCGGAGCGAACCCCGGAAACCAGGUCCCAGUUCGGAUUGUGGGCUGCAACCCGCCCACAUGAAGUCGGAGUUGCUAGUAAUCGCGAAUCAGCAUGUCGCGGUGAAUGCGUUCCCGGGCCUU